UACGUAGGGUGCAAGCGUUGUCCGGAAUUAUUGGGCGUAAAGCGCUCGUAGGCGGCCAGUUGCGUCUGCUGUGAAAUCCCGGGGCUCAACCCCGGGCUUGCAGUGGAUACGGGCUGGCUGGAGGCAGGCAGGGGAGAACGGAAUUCCCGGUGUAGCGGUGAAAUGCGCAGAUAUCGGGAGGAACACCGGUGGCGAAGGCGGUUCUCUGGGCCUGUACUGACGCUGAGGAGCGAAAGCGUGGGGAGCGAACAGG
rnacentral:rRNA from 1 species